UCUCGAUUGGUCUAGUGGUAAGGAUACCUGCUUGUCAUCGAAAAUGAGCUAAACCACGAUAGUGGGAUUUAGCAAUCGUUCAAAUGAGCCGCAGGUGGCCGGGGUUCGAUUCCCCGAUCGAGAG